rnacentral:misc_RNA from 1 species
AUUUUACAAUAAAGAACCUAUCCUGUAGUCCUAGCUCUAAAAGGUCUCUGAUAGUGAUGAUAGCGAUGAUGGCUCCUCUUCAUCGAGCCUCUCCAUUAGCAUGUCCAGCUUAUUGUGGGCUUCCUAGAGGCUGUCCUCGAUUGCUCGCAUUCUGCUGUAUAUUGUGGUCUCCAUGCGCUGUAGGUAUGCGAGGACCGGAUCUAUUGGUGGCGGUGUGUAUGGAGGCACUCG